rnacentral:rRNA from 1 species
UGUGCAGGCGGGCUUGUAAGUCAGUGGUGAAAUACUGCCGCUUAACGGUAGAACUGCCAUUGAUACUGCAAGUCUUGAAUAUGGUUGAGGUAGGCGGAAUGUGUUGUGUAGCGGUGAAAUGCAUAGAUAUGACACAGAACGCCGAUUGCGAAGGCAGCUUACUAAGCCAUUAUUGACGCUGAGGCACGAAAGCGUGGGGAGCGAACAGGAUUAGAUACCCUGGUAGUCC